UUAAGUUGCCCGGUGGCGGGGUGGGCGAGCGAGGAAGUGGGAGGUGGCGGCCGCGUUACGAGGGGAGCCGGCUGCCUCAGGCCCGGGGCGCGUGCAGAGCUGGGGCUUGGCUGUUACCCCUUCUGUGUGACUAGGCCACCCCCCAUCGCGCCUCUGGGCAGGCCCGUCCGAUGGCUCGGUGUCUUUGUUACCGCUGCGGCCACAGCGCGCAGGGAGAGCUGGCGAGGGCGCUGAAGGGGCACGCGCGAGCGCAGGGCUGCCUGAGGGCCGGGGCCGCCGCUACUUCAGGGAGAGUAGCCGGGGCCGCCUGUGGUGCUGUAUAGUACUCGAUGUACAUGGCGUAGUAUUUUGUCAAAUGAGCGGGCUCCCCUCAGCAGUACACGUGAAGCCUUUAUGCUCCACUCUAGUGAGAAAUGUGUGGCUCCUUCCUUUCCACUAAGAUUGGUUUUAUAGGCCCUCUUUUUUUGUACCGGCUCAGGCCUCUAAUCUAGCUGCCCCCCGUUUUCUCCUUUUAAGUUUGCACUUGAACAGAAACUUAUUUGAAAGGCUGGUCUGGAUUUUUUUUUUCUUCUCUUUUUGCCUGGGGCUACUUCUGCCUCCCCCUUUAUCCUAGUUUACAUCCCCCCCAACUACAGCCCUGUGUUACAGCCACCCUCUGGCACAGAACUCCAUUGAGAGGCUGUGGUGGAUUCUCCAGCACUGGCAAUUUUUAAAUGCAGACUGGAUGUUUUACUAAAACGUAUGCUGCAGUGAAAACAGGAAUUAAUUCAGGGAAGUUCUCUGGCCUGUAUUUUGCAGGAGGCCAGAGCUGUGCUCCCUUCUGGCUUUAUAAUAUAGGAAUCUAUGAUCCUAAAGUGUGUCCAUACCACUCCUUAGCUACCUGAAAGGGAUGCUACUGAGUCACAUUAGACUUAGCCAAGUAGUGGUCAUAGAGUGCCUCCACUGUAAUCUAGGGGUGUAACUGCCCUGCUCCUAUACAGUUAGUUAUGCUUGCUCUCAUCCAUCCAGCAGAAGUAUCCAUAGCUGCAGUAGCACCAGUUUGAGGUAGGCUUAUCCUCAGCCCAGCUCAGCUGUGCCUCUACUGUUGCUAUCAGUGCUACACAGCUGCACUGCUGUGUAUACUCGCACUGGCUAGAUGAGAGCUAGCAGGAGUAUGUGUACAUGAGCAGGGGAAUCACAACCUUCGCUUGUAGGGUAGACAUAGGCUUAGUGCUUAUCUGUACAUACAGUGCUUCAACAGCACAGCUGCACCAAUUCAGCUGCAUCACUGUAGCAUUAGUGAAGAUGCUUCUAUUGGUGUAGGUCCCCAAGAGGAGAUAGCUAUGUCAACAGGAAUGCUUCUCAACAUAGCACUGUUUACACCAGGGGUUAGGUUGGUAAUAGUGCAUCACUUGGGUGUGGAUAUUCCAUACCCUGAGCAACACAGUUAUACCAAAUAAGUCCGUAGUGUAGAGCAAACCUUAGUCAAUGAACAUGCUGUCUUCACUUCAUAUGUGGCUGGACUAAUUGUGCUUUAAGCCUGAGAGUGCUCUGUUGUCAAAGAGGCAUUGUGGUAUGAAAAAGACUUUUCAUAUAUUACUGUUUUAAAGAGUAUUUUACCUCUCGCUGAUCUAGAAGUUAUGUAUUUUUAACUGGCAUAUUCCAUUUUGAGAAAUUCAAUACAUAUAACAGGUUAAGGACUAGAAGACAAAGCCCUAAUACUGAGAAAAAAAAUGAUGGAAGACAAUGAUUAUUUCCAGUCAGGUAGCUGGCAACAGACCAGGCCUUUUACCCUAUUGAGGGUAGAAGAGCAUCCCACCAUGCUUUCCCAGAAUUGUAGUUUUCAAGUGUACAAAAUACUAAACUUCUUAUCAAAAUACUUAAUUAUAAAUUAAACUAAUUUCCAUUUCUAAUAGGGCCUUUCAUUAUCAAUAACAGGCCUGAAGACGUGGACAUUAAUUCUACAACUAUUCAGAAAUAAUUCUCUGUGGGAAUCUGAUUCUAGGAUAUGGAGGGUCUAAGCAAGAAAAUUCUCAGGUAAAAAAUGUUCUCUCCUCUCUGUUCCCUUCAUGUCCCAUCAUUCUAACAAUGACAUGUUCACAGCACUAAAGGCCAUAUCUGGGUCAGAAAAGGAUAGGAUCAAUAGUUAUGUACAAUAAUGACAGCGCAGAAGCAGCCAAGGGAUUAUGGAGCUACCACUACUUGACUCUCCUGACAGAUGCUGAAUCCACAGGAUACCUACUUUGCAGUGUCUCAGACAUGUGGACAGAAAGUCAAGUUGCUGCCUUCCAUUUGUUUUCAUGCAAAGCAUUUGACAUUGCUGCUAAUGAUGUUUCAGAUCCCCCAGUUUAAUGAGCUGUGAUGUUGUUGUGUGGAGCUGCUACUUUUGCCUUGUAUGGGCUCAUGAUUCAAACAUUGAUCCAGAUCGCUGUGGUAGUCUUAUAGGGUUUCUUGCCCAGAUAUCAGUUUUGAAUGGUCUUCUCAAACACAGUGGGCUACUGGUUUGGAGGCCAGUGAAUAAGUCACUAACUUCAGAGUCCAGGGAUAUAUCUGUUGCAAAUGAUGCUUCAAAGAAGAUAUUUUUCACCAUUGCCUUCAUUUUUAUUGUAAAUUGGGGAGGGAGACUGUCAGUUUGUCCAAACCAUGACAGCUAUUUCAAACACAAUAAUGCAGUGGAGGCCAAAAGGAGCUGAUGCAAUUACCUCAUCGUCUGCCCAGAGACACAAUUAUCUUCCUAUCUGCAGGAUCUCUAGGCAAGAACUCACCCUCCACUGGAAUUACUGUCUGAUUAGUGAGGUGCUGCUGCUUCCAACUUUGGAAUCUCUUGUUCUUUGGUACAAUGGAAAAUCUCUGGAGCAGCUGGCUGGGUGUUAUGGACCUACUGGUAAACUCCCAUUAUGCCACCUUCAUAUGCCAAAUGGAGGGUGGAUUCACAGACCCCUUUUAGACACUGAGAGAAUCCUUCCCCAGCAUUGCUUUGUAAGAAUCAGCUCUCCUAUGUGAUCUGGACUCUCCUCCCUGCUGCUGGAGAUCUUGGCAAGUAGACAAGCCAGCUUUCUGUGACAGGUGUAGGUGAACUGAGCACACACUGCAUUUCCUGUCCUUGUUUCUCCCCCUUGUCUCCUUCAUAGACAUAUUUGGCCCAGGAGCAAGAUUGGAAACAGGAGAAUGCCUUAGUAAAACAUCUUUUCCAAAGCUCCAAGGAAUAAGUUUGCUGAUUCUCUUUAACGGAACUGAAGUCCCAACUGAAAUAAGGUAGUUAAAGUUAAAAUAAGAGCAGGGUUGACUGAAAAAGCUUCAUGAUGGAAGUCUGUAGCCUGCUGUUCACACUCCUUAGGCAGAGUAAUCUGGGAAAGGCUUAGAAGGCAAAAUCUUAUGCCCUAGCCAAGGCAACAGGUAUGAGGAAAGAGCCUCAGCUGGUGUAACUUGUCAGUUAUUUCAUUGGAGCCACAACAGUUUUUACCAUCUGAGGAUCUGCCAAGUGGUCUGCCACCAACAUAGAGGAGAAAACCUGUGGCUAAAAUUGUUGCCCAUGAAGAUGAUAGAGAAGAACACUGAAUUAGGGGGCACCGUUAAUUUCACAGAAGCCCAAAAGGUAGAAAUGCAGAAGUACUAUUUAGAUUCCCCAGUGCCUUUCCCUGAGAAUGCAGGUUUGCACCUUACAGUAGCUACUCUUCUUAUGCUAGUUACCCUAUUGAAGAUGCAAAGAAUGGAUAGGCUGAAUGUUGCAUAUAAGAAAUAAUUAAAAAAAAAAAACUGUACAAGAACUACUGAUUGCUUCAUAAGUGUGAAUGGAAAUAAUUUAGAGCAAAAAGACAAUUUUGGGUGAGCAAAGGUUUUAUUCCUAGAGUUGUUUUUAGGUAUGUACAAAUUAACAGCUAGGGAAAUUUCUAGUCAGAUUAAGUUAUUGUGGUGGUAAAUUUAACGAGGGUAGAGAUAGUUUCACUAGGUAUUCUUUUAAUUAAAAAAGCUCAUUGACCACCUUUGCUCAUCUAACGUAAUAUUUUAAUCAUGUAUAUAAAAGUAAUAAAGAUUUAAAACUUUCUUUUUAAAUUAUGAAGAUUAUUUUUGUUGAAAUUCUUAUGUCUAAUGACAGCUUUUAUUACUUUUUAGUGGUAUAAAGCAUUUUAGGUCUAUACUCAAAAUGGCAAUUUUACUAACCAACAGUAACAUCUAUUAUUCUCACAUUGGGGGGAAAAAAAGGUGAUCGCAACUUUUAAAAAUCACUUUUAGUCUCCAUAAAUCUGUUACUUUGUUUACUUUAUCUGUGGGAAAAAUGGAUGCAUCUAUUGCACAGUACAUGCAACAUAAAAUAAAAUACAGAAAUGCCUAUAGUGUGAGGGAGGAUUUUUCUCCCAGUUAUUCUAAUUCCAGAAACACAAAAUCUAGGAAGGUAUUUUAAAUUCCUUCCUUUAAAUGCCACAUCUGUUGCCACUAUUCCCCCCCCUCCCAGAACAUUAAAAUUAAAUAAUACAGAUACAGGAUUAAUACCGUGGGCCAGAUUCUAGUCUAAAUUACAUGAGUAACAUCAGAAUCUGACAUCUAUAAAUUAUUCUGUAAAAUCACAUAAGAGUAAAAUUACAUAGAGUAUUAAAAAUCUGGCUUUCCUUUUUAUAAUAUUUAAAUCUACUCCACAAUACCAUUUAAAAAGGAGGCUAUAUGUAGUUUAACAUUAAGCAAUAUUAAUUUAACGGAAGGUAAGAUCGAAAAAGGGUGAACUAUAUUUUGACAUUAUGGAAGAGAGAAAAAGCAAAACAAGUAACAAUAGAAAGAUCCACAAUACCACUUAGUCAGCAAGUUAAAUAUUAAACCUUUGCGGGAAAAAGUCUAUCUAAAAAGUUAGUGGGGCAACCAAAACUGUCUCAAAUCUUUGGGCGAGAACAACAAUUUAUGCUGAUACAUUAGUAGCUCAUAAUGGCAGCUGAAAGGAAGGCAAGUAUGGCACAAUCCAAAAGCAUCACAUAUUGUGCAACUUGCUUGAGGGAAAGGACCAGUGGGAUUAUUCUUGCUAAAAUGAUCACGGAAUAGCUAGUCCAGCAGAAAUAAUAACUGGGUGGUUAAUAGUCUCUUACGAGGACCCUAGUACAUGACCUUAUGUCUACUUUAUGCACCUUUUACAAUUCUUUAGUUCUAAUAAGACACCUGUCUCUUUAAAUAAAAUAUUUUCCAUACCACUUCUGGAGGCCUUUUUGCUUGGUCUGUCUAGGCUAAGAUUCUUUGAAUGCUGUACUUCAUCUUUUUUGGAAUUCUUUUCCAGUGGAUUUAGACGAAUGCCCAGAACUGAUCUUUACGAACUGCUAUAUAAACAUUUGAAUUUGAAUGGAUGCACUGAAUGUGUAAUGAUGAUUUCUACAAAUAGUUGCAUGUGAGAUGUUAAUUACUGAGGUUCAUAUAUUUGUUGCUUACUUAUAAGCAGUUUCUUCUAUGUCUUAAUACUGAUGUGUAUGUGUCAACUGACUUAACAGGACAUCCUUGCAAGUAAGAUCUUUGAUCUCAAGAGUUUACUUUAUCUUUGCAACAAAGAUAAAACUGAAUUGAACUGACUGGCUGAACUAAGCCCUCUUUUCUCUGCACUACAACUACUGCCUCGUUCUGGGGAUAUCACAACUUCCACUGACACCACCGGAUGCUGCAUUUUGUUGUAGAACUAGGAAAGGUCUUUCCAAUUUGUCCACAUAAGCUAGACUACAUAUUGAAAUCUUCACAAUUGCUUGUUUAUUUAAAAAAAAAACAAAAAACAAACACACAAUUCUGGGCUGCCCAUAAGCCUUUGCUUCUCUGAAAGAAUCUGUCAGAUUUGUGUCUACUAUGUACCAGGGUUAAGGAAAAUCUAACUAUCUUUGAGCUACUCCCUCAUACUAUUUGAUGGGUAAGUAGUAAACCUUAUUAGAAUAUUUAUCUUCAUGUUUUGGUAUGUUGAAAGCGUUCAGACCAUAGGCCUGCAAUAGAGAAGGCUAAAGAUAAAAACAAAAUAACCAAAAACUCUGCUUUCAGAUGUUGACAGGAUGUAUGCAAUCAAUUAAAUGUUAACUCCAUGACUCUCCUAUUAUUUACAUUACAGUACUGCCCAGAGGCCCUAGCCAGGAUCAGGAGCUCUUUGUGCUAGGUACGGUGCAAAUACAUAAAGAAACUGUCCCUGUCCUGAAGGUCUAGACAGAAACUGUGGCAAGAGCAGUUUUGGUAUAGUGAACAGGAGGAUGAUAGAAGGGAGGCUAUAGCUGAUAUUGCUAAUUUUCUCUUUGAAAAAGCCUUCAGGAUCUUGUUCACAGAAUGAGGAGGGGACAAAUGCCCCAAUUAUUUUCUGACUUUAACUUCCCAUAUGCCACGUUCUGUCUGACUGCACUUCAUUUCAUUUGUACAUUUCAGUUUUGGUUAGUUAGGUCUUCUAUAGCAAAAUGAUAUGCAAUGAAAAUUGUGUCUUAUCUUUAAUUUCUUUUCUCCUAUCUUCUGACACUCCUACUGUGCAUCCUCCUUUCCCAUGCAGCUAAAGGACAGAACAAAAGGUGCAGGAGAAAGCCUUGCUCUCAAAGCUGUAACAACACUUAUUAACUGUUAAACAUGGAAUUAAUUCAUAACUAUUUGUAAAGAACCAAACAACAUUUUAAUAUCCUGAAAGUGAGUGAAUGGAAAAAAAUAAUAAAUAUAUCUAAGGAUAUCCCAGAACCCAUAACUAAGGUGGGGUAGAUUCUCAGACACGACAGUAGGAGAAACGAAAUUAGAAGUUUCAGACACUCCCACUGAAGGAUUUAAGAAUUAGUGAAGCUCUAAAGGAGAGAAAAAUUCAGAGCAAACCAGUUGUUUUUGGUAGAGUAAAUCUGGAUAAGGGACUAUACUACUGAAGGCACUGCCCAUUGCAGAGUUCUUCUAACAAAAGUUGUGUCCACAGAGGCCAUCAUCUAUUUGGUAGUGCUUUGGAUCUCACUGCUUCUUCAGUAGGACUGUCAGACAUGAAAAUGUAGAAGAAUGAAAAUGCUGUUUUGUCUUUAGCCUCACAUAAGUGUGAGCAGAAGAGCAGCCUUACAAAUACCGACAAAGAUUUCAUGAGAUCUCUGUGCCCCAGAAAUAGCCAGUGACCUGGCUGAAUGAACUGUAAUUCCUGGAGGACCAGAUUUGCCUCUGACCUUGUCUGCUUUUGAAACACACAUCUUCAUUUUGAAUAUCAAUAAUUUAGAAACAUCAUCCCUAUAACUGACUGGCAGUACAAAGGGAAUCUGAACAGAGAAUUUGCCCCCCUUCUGAUAUGCAUAUUUGCUUCCCCAUAAAGUUCACAUCUUUCUUCUUUACUUUGUUUUAGAUUCAGACAAAAGAAAGGCAAAACAGUAAUGUGGGGUCUGUGCAAAUGGAUCUUUUGGAGGAAUGAAGGCUGGGAUGGAUCUCAGUCCUGAAGGAGACCUUGUCACUGUGAAAGAUGCUGAGUUGUGGCUCACUGACAAGGUCCUCAAUUCUGAAAUUCUUCAGAGGUGAUUCAAAGGAAGGGGAUAGUUACCAGACUUAAUCACCAGGACCAAAGCCUACAUCUGUAGUCACACGAAGUGUAAACUUGGAAACUGCAGCACUGAGAUGUCAAGCUUCAGAUUGUACUUUCCAGGAAAUAGCAGCAACUGUGUCUAUGGCUGUCUCCUUGGCAGAUUUCUUGUACAUCCUAUUAUCUAGUUCCAUUUCUGGUUUUGCUUGUCGCUAAAGAGCUGUUUGUAGGGGCUGGUUCAUGAUCAGCCUGCUGUCGGGCUGUUCUGGAUGCAAUUAUUCUUUGAUUUACCACUGAACAUGUGGACUUUGCUCUUUCUUCUGCAUUUUAAAAUUAGGCCUUUCCGAAGAUUUAGUCAUCUUUUUCAGACGAAAUAAAAGAUGUUUUGUUAAGUUUGAUUUAAACAAAAUAUUCAUAAGGAAACCAUCACACAUUAUAGAGGACAU